rnacentral:rRNA from 1 species
UGGGGAAUAUUGCACAAUGGAGGGAACUCUGAUGCAGCGACGCCGCGUGAGUGAUGAAGGAAUUCGUUUCGUAAAACUCUGUUCUAUGGGAAGAAAAGGACUGUACCAUAGUAGAAAGCUCCGGCUAAAUACGUGCCAGCAGACGCGGUAAUACGUAUGGAGCGAGCGUUGUCCGGAAUUAUUGGGCGUAAAGGGUGCGCAGGCGGCUUUACAAGUUGGAUGUGAAAUAUUGUCGCUCAACCACAAACGUGCAUCCAAAACUGCAAAGCUUGAGUUAAGGAGAGGUAAGUGGAAUCCCUGGUGUAGCGGUGGAAUGCGUAGAUAUCAGGAGAAAUACCGGUGGAGAAAGCGACUUACUGGACUUACACAGACGCUCAGGCACGAAAGCGUGGGGAGCAAACAGG